rnacentral:rRNA from 1 species
GACGAACGCUGGCGGCGUGCCUAACACAUGCAAGUCGAACGGAAAGGCCCUGCUUUUGUGGGGUGCUCGAGUGGCGAACGGGUGAGUAACACGUGAGUAACCUGCCCUUGACUUUGGGAUAACUUCAGGAAACUGGGGCUAAUACCGGAUAGGAGCUCCUGCUGCAUGGUGGGGGGUGGAAAGUUUCGGCGGUUGGGGAUGGACUCGCGGCUUACGUGCUUGGUGAUGGGGUAGUGGCUGACCAAGGCCUUGACGGGUAGCCGGCCUGAGAAGGUGAACGGCCAAUAUGCGGCUGAGAUACGACUCAGAAUCCAACGGGAGGCAAAAGUGGGGAAUAAUGCACAAUAGGCAGAAGCCUGAUGCAGAAACGCCGCGUGCGGGAUAACGGCCUUCGGGUUGUAAACCGCUUUCGCCUGAGACGAAGCGUGAGUGACGGUAAUGGGUACAGAAGCACCGGCUAACUACGUG